CAGUGCGCCAGAUGAGUGGUGGGCCAAGCAAAAUGAAGCAAUGCCAGGUUGUAUUAUGUUCAAAACAGCCCCCCUAGAGAAUGAGGACGAGCUAAAGGUUAUGUUUGGACCCAUUGUCUGCACAAAUGAAAGAACCCUGGUUCCUGGCGUGGAGGAUGCUAAUUCAUCUUCUGAUGAUCAUUUGGAAUACACUUUAGGUGGGGGUGAAAACAGCACACCUGACCCUUGCACAAAUGCUACUGGGAAGCGUAAGAUGCGCCAUGAUUCCCCAAAACCAAAGAA